ACCGUUAAAACACAGGUUCCCGUACGAAGUUAAGCAACAUCGAUCCUUGUCAGUAUUUAGAUGGGUGACCUUUUGGGAAUACCAGGUGCUGUAU